AGCGAACGCUGGCGGCAGGCCUAACACAUGCAAGUCGAGCGCCCCGCAAGGGGAGCGGCAGACGGGAGAGUAACACGUGGGAACGUACCCUUCAGUUCGGAACAACCCAGGGAAACUUGGGCUAAUACCGGAUACGUCCGUAAGGAGAAAGAUUUAUCGCUGAAGGAUCGGCCCGCGUCCGAUUAGCUAGUUGGUGAGGUAACGGCUCACCAAGGCGACGAUCGGUAGCUGGCCUGAGAGGAUGAUCAGCCUCACUGGGACUGAGACACGGCCCAGACUCCUACGGGAGGCAGCAGUGGGGAAUAUUGGACAAUGGGCGAAAGCCUGAUCCAGCCAUGCCGCGUGGAUGAUGAAGGCCCUAGGGAUGUAAAGUCCUUUCGGCGGGGAAGAUAAUGACGGUACCCGCAGAAGAAGCCCCGGCUAACUUCGUGCCAGCCGCCGCGGUAAAAC
rnacentral:rRNA from 1 species